GCUAAAUAUGGGCCAGAGACCGAUAGCGCACAAGUAGAGUGAUCGAAAGAUGAAAAGCACUUUGAAAAGAGAGUUAAACAGUAUGUGAAAUUGUUGAAAGGGAAGCGCUUGCAACCAGACUUGAGCGCGGCGGUUCCCCCUUGCUUCUGCUUGGGUUACUCCGCCGUGUCCAGGCCAACAUCGGUUCUGGGGGUCGGUCAAAGGCUCUGGGAAUGUAUCUACCCACGGGUAGACUUAUAGACCAGGGUGUCAUGCGACCUCCCGGGACCGAGGAACGCGCUUCGGCUCGGAUGUUGGCGUAAUGGUUGUCAGCGACCCG
rnacentral:rRNA from 1 species